rnacentral:rRNA from 1 species
UACGAAGGGGGCUAGCGUUGCUCGGAAUUACUGGGCGUAAAGCGCGUGUAGGUGGUGGGACAAGUCUGCUGUGAAAGCGCCUGGCUUAACCGGGCGAGGUCGGCGGAAACUGCCUCACUUGAGGACGGUAGAGGGGGGUGGAAUUCCCGGUGUAGUGGUGAAAUGCGUAGAGAUCGGGAGGAACACCCGUGGCGAAGGCGGCCACCUGGGCCGACCCUGACGCUGAGGCGCGAAGGCGUGGGGAGCGAACGGG